AAAAUGUUUCAAGUGGUUUUGCCCCCCUCCUAGGAUUCUGGGCUGUAUUUUACAUUGUGCUGACCCAGGGUAACCGAGGAAACUAAACAUCUGACAGAAGCUAAGCUGAGCUAGGACUGAAAGCAAAACGGACUGAAACUCCCCGAAGACUAGCACCCGAUGGCAGAAGAUAUGUUGGUUUACACUUUUUGGAUUGAGAGUAGAUGAAAAUUUUGCCUGCUAAGACAAGCCCU
rnacentral:lncRNA from 1 species